rnacentral:rRNA from 1 species
GACGAACGCUGGCGGCGUGCUUAACACAUGCAAGUCGAACGGAAAGGCCCUGCUUUUGUGGGGUGCUCGAGUGGCGAACGGGUGAGUAACACGUGAGUAACCUGCCCUUGACUUUGGGAUAACUUCAGGAAACUGGGGCUAAUACCGGAUAGGAGCUCCUGCUGCAUGGUGGGGGUUGGAAAGUUUCGGCGGUUGGGGAUGGACUCGCGGCUUAUCAGCUUGUUGGUGGGGUAGUGGCUUACCAAGGCUUUGGCGGGUAGCCUGCCUGAGAGGGUGACCGGCCACAUUGGGACUGAGAUACGGCCCAGACUCCUACGGGAGGCAGCAGUGGGGAAUAUUGCACAAUGGGCGGACGCCUGAUGCAGCAACGCCGCGUGCGGGAUGACGGCCUUCGGGUUGUGAACCGCUUUCGCCUGUGACGAAGCGUGAGUGACGGUAAUGGGUAAAGAAGCACCGGCUAACUACGUG